rnacentral:lncRNA from 1 species
AAUCGCCACCGCCACCACCAUACAAGUACGAGUCGCCUCCUCCACCUCCGUACAAGUAUGAAUCGCCUCCUCCCCCACCAUACUACUACAAAUCACCACCACCACCUCCUUACAAGUAUGAAUCUCCCCCUCCACCUCCAUAUUACUACAAAUCUCCACCCCCGCCACCACCUUACUACUACAAAUCACCACCACCACCUUCUCCUGUCUACAAAUAUAAAUCUCCACCACCACCACCUUACAAGUACGAAUCUCCUCCUCCACCUCCAUACUAUUACAAGUCUCCACCACCACCGCCGUAUUACUACAAGUCUCCACCACCACCACCUCCAGUUUACAAAUACAAAUCUCCUCCUCCGCCACCAUAUUACUACAAAUCACCACCUCCUCCAUCACCAGUAUAUUACUACAAAUCUCCUCCUCCACCAGCGUAUUACUACAAAUCUCCCCCACCGCCUGUCUACUAUUACAAAUCCCCGCCACCUCCAGCUUACCACUACCAAUCGCCACCCCCACCAAGUUACAAGCUGGUAGUGGUCACGGGCAAGGUCUAUUGCAACAGAUGCUGGAACACCACAAGCAGAUACCUUCAGGCAUCACCACAUGGGUCUGCUAGGUACAUUCUCAAUUGCAUUGUAUUCGAUAUUGUUCUCCUCACUCAUUUCCUCUUGAUACUGUGUGCAAUAAUGCAGGUGGCAAAGUGAAGAUCACAUGUGGCGAAUCUUACUACUACGGCUACACCAACAAGCAUGGAAUCUUUAGAAUUGAGCUCCCGCACCAAUCCUGGGAAGAAGCAAGCAGCUGCAAGGCCAAGAUUAUCAAGAGCAGCUACAUCAAGUCGUCAUGCAAUGUCAUCACGGACUACAGGUCUGGUGCAACAGGGGCCAAGCUCAAGUUCAAAUCGAAAACAGAGAAGGAGCUCGUCUUGACAGCCGGUCCUUUCAUCUAUGCAACUCCAGAGCCAUCGUCAGUCUGCUUCUACACAUCACCUCCCUAUGAGUACAAGUCACCUCCGCCACCAACACCGGUCUACCAUUACGCCUCUCCGCCACCUCCGGUCUACUACUACAAAUCGCCACCUCCUCCUUCACCGGUUUACUACUACAAAUCCCCUCCUCCUCCUUCGCCGGUCUACUAUUACAAAUCCCCGCCUCCACCACCAUACUAUUACAAGUCCCCACCUCCACCUCCGCCUAAGUAUUACUACAAGUCGCCCCCACCACCGUCUCCAUACUAUUACAAAUCCCCGCCCCCUCCACCGUACUAUUACAAAUCCCCACCACCACCUCCCUACAAAUACGAAUCGCCGCCGCCUCCUCCUUACAAAUACGAGUCCCCACCUCCACCACCUUACUAUUACAAGUCCCCACCACCACCUCCAUACAAAUAUGAAUCCCCGCCACCUCCAGUCUACAAAUAUGAGUCUCCGCCACCCCCAGUUUACAAAUACAAGUCGCCACCACCACCAUACAAGUACGAGUCACCACCACCACCUCCAUACAAGUAUGAAUCCCCGCCACCUCCACCUUAUUACUACAAGUCCCCUCCACCACCACCAUACAAGUACGAGUCGCCACCACCUCCUCCGUACAAGUAUGAAUCUCCACCACCACCAGUUUACAAAUACAAGUCACCUCCGCCGCCACCUUAUUACUACAAAUCCCCACCGCCACCUCCAUACAAGUACGAGUCUCCACCUCCUCCUCCGUACAAGUAUGAAUCUCCACCACCACCACCUUAUUACUACAAAUCCCCCCCGCCACCUCCAUACAAGUACGAGUCACCGCCUCCUCCUCCGUACAAGUAUGAAUCUCCACCACCGCCAGUUUACAAAUACAAGUCACCCCCGCCACCACCUUAUUACUACAAAUCCCCGCCACCACCUCCAUACAAGUACGAGUCUCCACCUCCUCCUCCGUACAAGUAUGAAUCUCCACCACCACCUCCUUAUUACUACAAAUCCCCGCCGCCACCUCCCUACAAGUAUGAAUCCCCGCCACCACCUCCCUACAAAUACGAGUCACCUCCACCACCACCUUACUAUUACAAAUCUCCUCCACCGCCUCCAUACAAGUAUGAGUCGCCACCACCACCAGUCUACAAAUACGAGUCUCCGCCACCCCCAGUUUACAAAUACAAGUCGCCCCCUCCACCUUAUUACUACAAGUCUCCGCCACCCCCGCCAUACAAAUAUGAAUCCCCACCUCCACCUCCCUACAAGUAUGAAUCGCCUCCUCCUCCACCUUACUACUACAAGUCCCCUCCACCACCUCCCUACAAAUAUGAAUCCCCGCCACCACCUCCCUAUAAAUACGAGUCACCACCACCACCACCUUACUAUUACAAAUCUCCUCCACCGCCUCCAUACAAGUAUGAGUCGCCACCACCACCUCCCUACAAAUACGAGUCACCACCACCACCACCUUACAAGUAUGAAUCCCCACCUCCACCUCCGUACAAGUAUGAAUCACCUCCACCGCCUCCAUACAAGUAUGAAUCCCCUCCUCCACCUCCCUACAAAUACGAGUCACCACCCCCACCACCUUAUUACUACAAAUCGCCUCCGCCACCGGAGUAUCAAUCACCUCCUUACGUGUAUAAAUCUCCACCUCCACCCUCGUACUAGGAGCUAAGGAGCAUUUGAUUUUCAGGUGAGAAAUCUAUAGAACCACAGUUCCUAGUUUUAACAAGUUUUCAAAUUCAUCAGGUUGUAAGAAGAGGACGUCGAAGUAGAUACGGAUGUGUAGAUUGGGAUCUCGUUGGCUUUGAGUAGCAAUUUGUUUCCACCAUCGAAGUCUUCUCUCCGCAAUCUUCUCAAGGCGCUCACAAAGCGCUCAGGGGCAGUUUUGAAGUGCAGCGGGACCCCUGCAAAAUAAGCACAGGCUUGUUGAGGAAGUUUGAGAGCUUUUGUUGGUUGCCAAUAAACACAGGGAAUUAGCGCAUAUGUGCGCCCUCCUGGCUUCCAGUUGUGAACGAUUCUGAAGUAAAUAAUUUGAUUCUGCGACUAGAAAGCAUGCUGGACCAUUCUGGAAGUGUCUCCAGGACUGCCAAAAGGCUAAAUCCAAGAUUUUCAAAAGGAUCCGUCUUUCUUCUAAGAAGAUCGAUCUUCUUAGAAGAUCUUGACGUCGCAAGCAAGACCUGAGAUCAAGGUUCACAAUGUAGGAGUCGAUUGCGGGCAUUGAAUGAACGAAAGGAAAUCCUGGCCAGUCUCUCCUUUUCUAGCUCGACACCCGGCAAUCCAGAAGAAAAGGCUGCUCGAUCGUAUUUUCCAUACGAGGACUUUUAUGCCGCAUUGAUCGUUGCUGCUCACCACUUUGACAAUGAAAGGUUUGAAACUCAAGACUAGUUCCUGUGUAGAAAAUGCCAAAAGAAAAUCCACAUCAUAGAAAUGUAAAAAAUGCCAAAAGAAAACCACAUCAUAGAAAUGAGCUCGUGGCCAAAAGAAAUGGAGAUGAGGGGCAUCGAUCCCCUUACCUAUCGCAUGCGAAGCGAUCGCUCUACCAUCUGAGCUACAUCCCCGUUUGAUCUUACCAGCCGCUGAUACCAGGCAUAUUCUCCGAUCGCCGACUUCCUUGCAGGUUCCAAUGGGCGGAAAAGAACACUUCUCGAGGGAGACAUGGAAGCCUGGAAUCGCAAAGGAGAGGGUAGGGUUCCUUGCUUUUUUCGCCCACCAGGUAGCUAUCUCUAAUUCUGCCAAGGAUGCCUAGAAGAAAGCUUGUGGAGAUCGAUGUCACGUCGGAUACGGUGUGCCCCUGGUGCUACAUCGGGAAGAAGAACUUGGAGCGGGCAAUCGAGGCCUCGGCAGACGAAUACGACUUCGAGGUAACUGGUUGGAUUCAUUCCUCCUCUCGAGUCUUAGAACGCUUCGAUCCAAUCACGCAGGUUCGAUGGCGUCCCUACUUGCUGAAUCCCAGCGCCCCCGUCGAGGGUGUUGAUAAGCUUGCUUAUUACAAGUCCAAGUUUGGAGAAGGUCGAUUUUCUUCUAUCGUGGGCCGAUUGAGCAAGGUUUUUUUUACUGUGAUGAUCUAGCAAAUGCUUAUUAGUAAGUCUAAGAUGAUAAAUUGGUUCUCAGGUGUUUGAGGAUGUUGGACUCGAAAUCAACUUUGGCGGCCUCACGUAAAGAUCAUCACGCUUUAAUCUUUGUGUGUGUGUUAACUUUGUGGGAUUUCCACAGGGGAAACACUCUGGACAGCCACAGGCUUAUCGAACUGGCUGGACGUCAAGGCUAUGACAAGCAGAACGCGCUUGUCGAGGAGCUCUUCCUCAACUAUUUGACUCAAGAGAAAUACAUCGGUGACAGGUUUCUCUUCUUCUCCCUCGGCGAAGAUUUGUGAGAUCUCGGUUGAGCUGACAUGGUCUCGUUUGAUCAGGCAAGUUCUGGUGGAUGCCGCGGACAAAGUUGGAGUCACGGGGGCCAGCGAGUUUCUCGCUGAUCCUAAUGCCGGCCUCAAGGAGGUUUGUUUGUUUCUUUUAUCUCCAAGGCUUCAGCGUCGCGAUGUUCUACUGUUGCGCAGGUCCUGGAACAACUCAAAAAAUAUGGCACUGGAGUGAAUGGUGUCCCGCAUUUUCUAGUAAGCACAACUCUAAACUUUGAUGGUGAUCACUAAACUUUCGUCGUCCUCUACAGGUGAAUGGCAAGUAUCAACUCUCUGGCGCCCAGCCACCCAGCUCCUUUAUCGAAGUUUUCAAGAAGAGCUAGCUAGACUUAUGGUCUCUUUACAUCUUCUAGUGUGAAAGAAUCUCUCUCUCUCUCUCUCUCUCUCCCUCUCCAGACUUAUGGAAGCCAGCGAGUGCCUGGCACUGCUCGAUCGUUGCAAGACACUGUCCGUGGCCAAGGACAUCCAUUCCCGCAUCCAAGGAAACGUCCACAGCUCCGCGGCCAUCGCCAACAAGCUGAUCGAGGUCUACGGCCGGUGUGGGAGCAUCGACGAUGCACGCAGGGUGUUCGAUGCCACCAAUGCCAAAGACGCGGUUUCGUGGGUCGCGAUGCUCUCUGUCUACACUCGCAACGGGCAUCCAGAAGACGCCAAGCGCAUGUUUGAGAACAUGCCAGAUCGAUCUCCAGCGUCCUGGAAUGUCAUGUUGCUUGUCUACGUCCAAGCUGGGAAUCUACAAGCUGCAAGGCAACUGUUUGAAGAGAUGCCGGAACAGACUCUAGUGUCCUGGAACACUAUGCUCUCUGCAUAUGCCAAAGCCGGGCAUCUUGACACAGCGAAAGAGUUGUUUGAUGCAAUGCCGCAUCACAACAUCAUCUCUUUCUCAGCUAUCCUUCCCGCGUUUGUGGAGAAUGGGCUCCUUGACGAUGCCAGGAUCUUGUUCGAUUCCAUGCAAGAGAGCAACCUCGUGUGCUGGAACACUCUCCUGUCGGCCUACACGCGGCACGGGCACCUCCAGGAAGCGGCUCUCCUCUUCGCCGACAUGCCGGCACGGGACAUUGUCUCCUACACCGCACUCUUGUCGGCUCUCUCGCAGCACAGCCGGCUAGAAUAUUCUAAGAUCCUCUUCGAGGAGAUGCCAGAGAGAAGCAUCGUGUCGUGGACCGCGAUGCUGACUGCAUAUGCCCAAAACGGGUGUCUGGCGGAAGCGAAGGAGAUAUUCGACAAGAUGCCGGAGCGUGACUUUGUGUCAUGUACUGCUAUUCUUGCGGCGUACAGCGAAGCCGGGAUGGUUGACAGGGCAAGGUUUUGUUUCGAUCGGAUGCCAGAGCGAAACAUGGUUACUUGGACUACCAUGCUUGCUGCAUAUGCCCAGCGUGGGCUUGUUGACGCCGUCGCCAAGUUGUUCCAGAAAAUGCCCCAGAGUGAUCUCAUAGCUUGCAACACCAUGGUGAGCGCAUACGGUCAAAGCGGGCGGCUGGACGAGGCUGUACAGGUGUUUGAAGUGAUGCCGGUGCGAAGCCUGGUGACAUGGAAUGCUAUGCUAGCUGCUUAUGCCCAAAACUGUCAUCUUGAGAGCGCAAAGAAGGUAUUUGAUUCAAUGCCUAUGAAGGAUCUCGUUGCCUGGACGGAAAUGCUCGUAGCUUAUGCCCACGCUGGUCAUUUGGAAGAAGCUAAGUGUGUCUUUGACAAAAUGGCACAGAGGGAUGUGGUUUCCUGGAAUGUAAUGGUUACUGCGUUUGGCCAAAACGGCUACCUGGUUGAGGCCCAGCGGUUGUUUGAAUCCAUGCCAUUUCACAGUGUGAUGUCUUGGAACUCCAUUCUGGUUGCAAACAGCCAAUUUGGUGGAUUGCAGGGCUCGAGAUUAGUUUUUGAUGAGAUGCCAUGCCGUGAUACUGCUUCCUGGAGUGCAUUGCUCUUCGCUUAUGCCCAACAUGGACUUGACCAGAAAUGCAAGUUUCUAUUCGAUAGAAUGCCAGAGAAGUCUGUUGUCUCAUGGAACUCCAUGUUAGCCGCAUACACAUACAGUGGUAACUCUGUAGCAGCGAUGGAGCUGUUUAGUCUCAUGAAGAUGAAUGAAUUGCCUAACGAGACAUCUUUUCAUCUGGUUUUAAUCGUGUGCAGCCGCAGAAGAAGCGCAUCUGAAGGGAGGAGACAAUUCCUUUCAAUGUACGCGGACUUUGGGAUAUAUCAAGGAAAACAGCAUUUUCACCUCGUCCUCGAUCACUGGACCGAAGCCAAGGAUGGAUUUCCAUCUGAGCCAAGCAAUGCAGCUCUGGCGAAGAACCAGGUGACAGAAAACUUUCAUAGUUGACAUACUCUUUUCAAGGCAUUUGACAGGAGAAUGUAUGGCAACCGGUUUUGCUCAUCGACUCCGACGGCAUUCCUUGCAGCAGCCGCUCCCUGCUGCGUGUCACCAUGGAUAUCACACGCAGAGAGGAGAGUGGCCCAAUUCUUGAGCUCUGGAACGUAUGGCAUGCUCUCGAUCAGCCCUUUAGCCUCGUCAAGCUGCCCAGCUCGAGCAAGAAGAUCGACAAUGCAGCGGAAAUGGCUGGCUCGGGCAUCCAAGCCGUAAUCCAGGUCCAUGAACACGAAGUGCCGCCAUGCCAAACCGAAGAAUCCCUCGUGUCCCAAGGCCGAGAUGAGACUGAGCAGUGUGAUCUCGUUGGGAUCCCAGCCGUCCAGCUUCAUCAACUGGAAGAGCUCAAGAACACACCUCACGCGCUUCAAACUCCGCUCCCUGCGUCGCUGCUGCUCCUGCGGCCGACUGGAAUCCUCUCGUCGCGUGUAGACCUGCAGCAUCAUGUUCCAUGCCACCACCGUGCGCUCCGGCAUCAUUCGAAAGAGCUUCCUGGCCUCAGUGUGAUGCCCGCUUCGAGAAUACGCAGUUAUCAUGGAUGACCAUGAAAUGCUGUCUUUUACGUGCAUGCUAUCAAAAACUUUCCUUGAAACGUCUAAGAAUCCCGCUUGGAUGUAAGCGAAGUUCAUAGCGUUACACGCUGCCAGACUUUGACACGGCAUUUCUACAAAUAAACUCCUGGCUUCCUCUACAUGCCCGACUUGGGCAUAUGCCGCCAGCAUGGUAGUCCACGUCACUUGGUCACGGACGGGCAUGGAGUCAAAGAUGUCUCGGGCUUGUUCCACGUGUCCGUGGUCGCAGUAGCCUGCCACCAGGGACGUCCACGUCACUAUAUCCCUGGCGGGCAUGCUGUCAAACAGCGUCAUGGCAGCUCCAAGGUGGUUGUUCUUCGCGUAGCCUUCAACCAUUGCAUUGCAAGCAAUGCCAUUCCACACGGGCAUUCGAUCAAACAGCGCCUUGGCAUCAUCUAGCUUGCUGCUUCUCAACAGAAUUACUAGCAUUGUAGUGAAAGACACCUCGUCCCUCUCUGGCAUCAUUUCGAAAAACUCAAUCGCUUCAUUCAGCCUCCUGUCGCCAUCGCCAUCUUGCGAAUGUGCCGCAAGCAUGCUGUUCCAGGCUAUUAGAUCCUGCUCUGGCAUCUCACUAAAGAUCUGCUUCGCAAUGUCGAAAUGCCCACUUGCGGCAUUUGCUGUGAUAAUGGCAUUCCAUGCGACGGUACCAUGUUCGGGCAUUUUCUCAAAAGUAUCCCUUGCCUUUGAAAUCUCUUUGUUUAGUGUGUAGCCUUGCAGCAUUGCGUUGUACGUUAUUUCAUUCCGAACAGGCAUUGAAUCAAACAGAAGUUUUGCGUUUUCCAGAUCCUCGCCUUUGGCAUAUGCUAAAACCAUGGCAGUCCAUGAUACAACAUCCCUCUCCGGCAUGUCCUUAAACAGCGUGCUUGCUUGAUCAAAGUUUCCAAUGUCAGCAUACGCGGCUAUAAUAGUAUUCCAAGAAACAAGAUCUCUUUGAGGCAUCGAAUCAAACAUAGACCUCGCUUGUCCCAAAUGCCCAUUCUGGGCAAGUGCAGACAUCAUGAUGUUCCAGGAGAAAACGUUGGGCUUGUAAAGUUGGUGAAACACCAGCCAUGCUUGCUCGAGCUGCCCACACCUUCCAUACAUGUCUACCAAAAGAUUUCCGAGGUAUCUGUUUGAUCUGUGCUCGCUAGCAUUGAUCUGUGCGUGAACACAUCGUCCUCGGUCGAGGUCCUUGGAAUUGCCGCAUGAUCUGACAAGGGACCCAAACCUCGCGAGCUCCUCGAUGGAUUGCAUUGUUUCUCUCGAGCGCGUGGGCGAUAGCGAUUCAUCCAAGAAUGGUGGAUGCCUCUCGCAAUCUCUUGUGCCAUAUACUAAGAUAUGAUUGUGUCAAAUGCUUGCGAGGCAAGAGCGCAUCGAGCACUAUGCAUCGCUCAUCCGAUCUUGCCAAGAUACACGCCAGGGGAGACAACUCCACGAGCGCGUCCUGGGCAGCGAGUUUCGGAGGAACAGAUACUUGGGCAAUUUGUUGGUAGAGAUGUAUGGCAAAUGCGGGGAUGUAGAGAGCGCAAGGCAGGCGUUCCGAGAGGUCUAUGAGCCCAACACAAUCUCGUGGAAUAUAAUGAUCGCGGCGCUCUCCGAUAACGGCUACGUUGAGGACGCUCGUGCCGUGUUUGAUCAAACGCCUUACAAAGAUGGUGUCUCCUGGAACACCAUUCUUGCAGCAUAUGCCCAAGCGGGGCAUAUUGUAGAGGCGCGUAAAAUCUUUGAGGAAAUGCCAGCGAAAGACGAGGCAUCCUUUACCGCUUUGAUUUCGGCUCUUGGGAGGAUUGGAGAGGUGAGGGCUGCCAAGACCAUCUUUGAUGGCAUGCCGGUGUGGAACACCAUGUCGUGGAACACCAUGCUCCAGGUAUUUUCGACGAAUUCUUAUGUAGAAGAAGCGGAGAAGAUGUUUGAAACGCUGCUGGAGAAGAAUGUUGUGUCGUGGACUGCUAUGAUCGCCGCGUGUGGUGAGCAAGGAAACCCGGAGAAAGCCAGGGGAUACUUUGACACGAUGCCUCUCUUUGAUCUUGUAGCUUGGUGUAGCAUUGUCACCGCAUAUGCCCAAAAUGCGCAUGCUGGAGAGGCCAAGUUUUUGUUCGACAUGAUGCCUGAGCACAACCUGGUCGUCUUUAAUGUCAUGGUUCUGGCUUACGCACAAAACGGAAACUUUGAUGAAGCACGCAGCAUGUUUGAGCAAAUGCCGUUCCGGGACUCAGUCUCUUGGACUGCCAUGGGAACGGCAUAUGCGCAAAAUGGGCAUCUCCAAGAAGCAUGGAAAGUGUUUGAGGUCAUGCCGGAGAAGAACUUGGUAUCUUGGAACGCUAUGAUACAAGCCGUCUCGCAAAUCGGAAGGCUGGAUGCGAUGGCCGAGCUGGGAUACUCUCGGCUGCUCAACGAUCGUAAUAGAAACCAAUGGAGGACUCUGAGAGACAAGAGCGUAGCGGAGGCUCUUGGCCACCUCUAUCUCAUGCUUCUCGAUGGCUGGGAGCCAAACGAGGUGACAUACUUGAGCUUGGUUUCCGCUUGCGGUCACGCAGGGAUGCUGAAAGACGCAUUGUCCCACUUCAAGGCAAUGACUUUCGACCACCGCCUGCGUCCUCAAGCCGGCCACUUCAGGUCCAUUCUGGAUCUCCUGAGCCGCGCAGGGAGACUGGCCGAGGCCAAGGAUCUCAUCCAAAACAUGCCGUUUGUCCCGGAGACUCCUGCGUGGGCGACGCUACUUUCGGCUUGUGGAACACAAGGUGACUCGAGACAGGAAAGUUCUAGCGUUGCACAGAGUGUGCUCGAGAUGAGGUCCGGGAGCUGUGGAUCCUACGUUCUCAUCUCCAAUCUAUACUCCGCAAAGAAGUACGCAAGACAGUGAAUCGCUCUCUGGCGAAGCGACGAACUUAGAGAGCCAAAGUUGCAUCUCUUCCAUGGAAGGACGCCAAAGGAAGGACGGCAUAGACAAAAUGCCAAACUUCUGUGCGUCUCGGUCCGAGGUAGUGACGCUGGCAAGAGACAAGAGGGAAGGCUCAAGCUUAAAGAUCCAAGGACAAGCUCUCCGGUGGGAUUCGAGCGGGAGAGAAGUAGGCCAGCAGCAUCGAAACAAGAGCACACGCCAAAACCAUCGCUCGAAUCAGUAAGAUCAUUAAGAGAACACUAAGUGAAAAGACACAAAGUAGAAGAAAAGAAAAGCCUCCAUUUUUAUUUACAAACGCAAAGUCCCACUAGUACUACGAUCAAUCGUUUUAUCAUGAGCAGCACCCAGCUUUCUUUUUUGUUCUUGGAUCCUCACAGUGAUGGGCGAUGCGAUCGGCGAGGAAAGAGGCAGUUCAUCACCAUCACGUACUGUCGAGAAAGGGAAGCUUGGCGAGGAGCCACAUAUAUAAAUAUACCAUCGCGAUCAUGUCAAAGCUGGCGACGCUCGGGGAGCGAUGGCGCUGGAGCGGAUGAAUUGGAGCACCUCGGGCAUGAACACGUAGCUCACGGUUCCAUCGGGCGUGACGAAUCCAUGCGUCGCGUCCGGAUACUCUACGAGCUUCACCUCCACGCCGCUCUCGCGCAAGAAAUCCGCGUAGGCGACCUGGCGGUCGUGGAGCAAGUCUCGCCCGCCCACGAUCACCAGCGCCGGCGGGAGAUUGCAUGGCAGCGGCUGCGCGGCCGCGAGAGGAUCGCAGAAGGGAUGGUCGCGCGACGCGCCAUCCGGGAGCGCAAGGCUCCACAGCUGGUCGCUCAUGGCGAGCGUGAGGAUGGGGCCGUCGGAGAGGCGGAGCUCCGAGGCGGUCCUGUGCGCGCCACCAAAGAAUGGCUGGAGGAGGAUCUGGGCGGCGAAGCUGAGAGGAGGGAGGAGCGCGCGCUUGCUCUUGGACGACUCGAGCACCAUGAGGAGCGCGUUGUGGACAAUGUUGCCGCCAGAGCUUCCGCCCAUGAAGAUCAAGCUGGAGAAGUCGGCAUACGAGGCUAGCCAGGGAUCCCUUUGAGGAAGAUGGUGGUCGCCACCAUCGCGCAAGCUCGUGAUCUGGUGGUGGUGAUCAUGACUAUCACCAUUGCCAUCCACAGUAGCGCUGGCAGCAUCGCCACCAUCGCCAUCGCUGGUGGAGAGAAGAGCUUGGGCUCGGAGCCAGUGGAGCGCCGAGACGAGGUCUUGGUAGGCGGCGGGGAGGCACGAGGCCGGCGCCAAUCUGUGGUUGAGCGAGACAACAAGAGCAGUGGCAUCAGUGGCUACCUUCUUGCAGAAAUCGUGGUACGAGGACGUGGCGGCGCUGAAUCGGACGAAUCCUCCGCCGUGGACAUGGACCACAAUGGGGAGCUUGCGCUUGGAAUUGAUCUGGAGCGCCGCCGCGGGGAGAUAGAGCCUGACCCACACACGACCAUCGCCACCGCCGAGCUUGACAUCCCGCGACGCCACACCAUCCGCGAAGCUGGAAUCCGCGGCAACCUCGGGGAUUUCCCAGCUCUGCGCGGACGCUGGCGGCCCUGUGGAAUCGCCCAUCAUGCUCUAGCUCUCUCGCGCUCCCGGAGAGAGAGAGAGAGAGAGAGAGAGAGAGAGGCGCGGCGCGGUGAAAGAAUCAAAGAAAUAACUCGUAGAAAACGCGGAGCAAAUCCUGCGCUCCUCCAAUCCAAUCCUGCGCAGCGCUUCUUCCUUCUCCAGGUUUUGUAGCUCUCGCUCCUCUCCGCUCUAGCUACGCGGCCCAAGAGCUUGAUUAGCCACAUUCUUCUUUUUCCAUUGUUUAAGCUUUGCCAUGGACCCUCUCUUGACAAUGCUUCACCAACAAUCACGAAAGUGAAAGGCGCGCAUAAAUAUUCCUCUAAUCGCUCUCUCCUCGCUGCAGAUCUCCCUUGCGGGGUGGAUCUAGAGGAUGAUCUAUGCGUAAGUUAUUUGCACCACACGAGAGGGUGAUUGAUUGAUUAUCAAAUCGCGAUUUGAUAAACCCCGCGGUAUAGCUGUUCCUCAUAUGCGAAUUAUAUCCAUGCGAGCGUGGUCUCGCCUUGGCGAUCUCGCUGUCCACGAGCAUCCGGAUGCUCCACCCCUCGCAAGCAAUUCGCUCUCGAUCGAGUGUAACUCUCUCGCUUUUCCCGCUUAGCAGACAAUGUAAACAAUCGAUCGAUCGCUCUCGUGCUCUUUGGUUGCUCGAGAAUGCUGACAAGAGUUCGCUCUGUGGCAUAGAUUAUCUAAGCAAAGUCUGCGAGUGUGGCGAAGGAGAUCUCCCAGCGACACUUGCUAAAAAAAAAAAAAUCUUGUGCAAAGCACUCGCGGCCAAGGGUGGGAGUGAUGCGUCCAUUGCGAAUGAUUGGCAUAUGAGUUAUCGCGGGUGUAUGAUGAGAUAAUCACAAACCACACUCAAACAAACCAAACAACCUCAACCUUAUAGAAUCGCAAACAUUAUUCCUGGUGGGAAUCCUGGCAAAGACUUUGAAAUUUCUGCCACCACCCGCCCUACCUAGUCUAUGAUCCGAGCGAGCGAACGCGGCAAAACAAAGAGAGAGAGAGAGAGAGAGGAAGAGAAAAAAAAAAGCAAGAAAGAGAGAGCGGAAGAUUCCUUUUUCUCUCAACAAAAGCCGAGAGAGAGAGAGAGAGAAGAAGAGAAAAAAAAGCAAGAAAGAGAGAGCGAGAGAGCGGAAGAUUCUUUUUUCUCUCAACAAAAGCCGAGAGAUUCCUUUAUUUCAACCAAAGCUACCUAUAUUAUUCGAUAUUCGCUUUCUUUCUUCACGGGUGUGACCACUCAACUCCUUGAUUCAUAGGCAAGGUGAUAGAAACUUUAGUUUUUCCUCCAGCGAAACAACGUGGUGGCUGAUGCUCUGACUUGAUCCAAAACAUAUAAUCGAUCGUGCCACCAGAUUUACGAGGAAGCAUACAUCCUCCAUAGCCGCAAGCCAAGACAAGCGACCAAGCGAGCCAAGACGCAAGCUAGCAAUCAAGCAAAGCAGCACAGACACAUGAUCUCAUUCAUCGCAUCAUCGUGCUCAGCGCUUGGGUGAUCUCAUCCUGCAGCGCAAGAUUUGGGAUUGUCGCAGAUUCCUUUGGUUGAAUCCACAACUUGGUCCUGUCGAUCAUGUCCUGGAUUCGUUAAUUCACGCUCUCAUACAGCCCAGUCACAGCUCACUUUCUUCCUUCCCAGAGUGGAAGCAAAGCAAAUCACACCGAGGGAGAGACGAAGAAAAGCGCCGAGACAAAAUCCAAACCACAAGACGUAUGCUUCCGUGUGGCAGAGCCGUAGCUCCACCAUGAAGCCAAAAAAAAAAAAAAAGGAAAAAUAGUCGAAGAAAAGAGUACGAGAAAGAAAAGGAAGAAAUAUACCUACGUGCUACGUACAAACAAAUGCAUGAGACGCGACAAAGCAUGAAUGGGAGAGAGAGAGGCCGAGGAAAAAAAAAAAAAAAACUGAUAGAAGAGAUGGAAAAACUAUUCUUUGUUUCUAGGAGGCAUCUGAAAAGGGAGUAAUACCUCUGUGUCCACUGAAGCGAUGUCCUUGCUUUUCUCGCCGCGGCCUUGCUUCAAUUCAAGCCUUGGGUCUGAGUCUUGCUUCUCUCUCGCUCUCUCGUACUGCUCGUCUCGUCUGGAGAGAUUCCAGUUGUUUAGUAUUCCAAAAUCAAGCACUUAAGUACCUCCUUCUCUUUCUCCUGGAGUCCGAGCCAUUUACUCGGAAGGCUUGGAGGGGUCGCUCUUUGAUAGCCUUCCGUAGCACGGGAUGUAAGUUGUAAUUUAGACUGGGAUGGUUCCUGCCUGGCAAGCUUGUAUAGUUUCAAACCAAAAAGAAAAGGAGAAAGUUGCUUACGAAGGUUUACGUCUGAUCUUUCCAGAUGAUGUCUUUGAGUCCCGUUGUGAACGACUGGUGGAACUGCGCAGCGACAGCAUAUUGUUAAUGUUGAUGGCGAGGAAGAGAAAUAAAGAAGAGUCAAACAGUUGCCUUGUGAUACUCGAGUGUAUCGCCACCAGAUUUCCGUAGCUCCACCACGUAAAAAGACGGUGCAACUUCGAAGACCUGAGAGCAGAGCUUUUGUACGAGAGAAUGAGAACCAAAACGCUUUACCUCCGUGCACACCGAAAGAUGGCCUUUCCUACCUCGCUUUGACCCUUGCAGCGUCAUCUGAAGGAAAGUGCUUGUCCAACUCAUGCAAUCCUUUUUAGAACUAUACCUUGUAGUUCCUCUUCUGGAUAUGGAACCCCAGCGGUCUCGCAGUUUCUUCUAUUGUUCUCACAAUCUCUUUCGCAGGAUGUUUCGAUGUGAACCGUGACUCGCGUUCCACCUCCUACAACAAGUUACGCGAUCGUGAGCAUCUCUAUAGAGAGGAAAGAUAAAUGCUUGAGGAUACUUACACGAUGCUCGAAAAGGCCUGACAAGUUGAAUCCUCGCGACAUCGAUAUGAUCUCAAAAGCAUUCAUGGUGACUGGUUGUGGCUCCUCUUUCUCCGCCACAAGAUGAUCCUGCAAGAAAAUUUCAGUUCUCUUUCAUGUCAAUUUGCCAGACACGCCGUCCUACCUCAGAGCCAUUAAACACCGCAUCAAUGUCGUCAAGGUUGGGACUUUGUUCCUUUCCAAGUGUCAUUGGUUUGUGUUCGACUUGAAACCACUCAUUGUCCAUUAUCCUGGAGAUGGAUAUGCGCUGACGCACAAAUUCGGAAAAGGGCGAGAGAGAGACCAGCACAAGCAAAUAUUACUACAUCAAUGAUGCCAAUUUAAUUCUUACUGAUUUCGGAUUUGGAUCCAGUAUCUUUUGUACAAGCUUUCGGGAGCCCCUUGAAAACCAAUGCGGAAAUGUAAAAUCUGCGCGAUGCAUCUAAUUCGCAUUUAAUUCAUGUCAGCUGAACAGGAAAAACAACCAAACAGAUGUUUUCAUACCUUCUUGUACAGUGCCACCAGAUUAGGCUCGUCAAAUGGCAAGUAUCCAGCCAAGAGGACGUAUAAAACAAUUCCGCAAGACCAGAUAUCGGCUUUGAAACCGUCGUAGCCUUUGUCACUGAUGACCUGUAGAACGAUAAGUUCACACAAGCUAAAACAACAAGCAACGCAGUUACCUCGGGAGCUACGUAGUUUGGCGUUCCACACGUUGUAUGAAGAAGGCCAUCCGACUGUAAAAUCAUUCACUAAUUUAAUGAGCGAGUUCUCUUAUGGUGAACUUAACUCGGCACUGUUGAGGAAGGGCACUUAGACCGAAGUCUGAGAUUUUCAAGUUUCCAUCUGAAUCCAAUAGCAAGUUCUCUGGCUGCCAAAACAAACGCUUCUAAGUCGAGAGCUCUACAAAUAUCAGUUCGUUUCUUUCGAGAAUCACCUUUAAGUCACGGUGGCAGACACCCCUGCUGUGACAAUAAUCCACAGCAUCGAUCAGUUGCUGGAAAUAUAUUCGGGCUUUACGUUCAUCUUGCUUUCCCUCUCGCGCCUGGACGAAAAAGAAAUAAAAAGAAAUCUAUGUCAUUCUUUAAUGAAAAACUGUCAGAUGCCUUACGAUCUUGUCAAACAUUUCUCCACCUGUGACAUAUUCCAUAACCAUAUAAAUCUUGGUCUUGCUGCCUAUAACCUGUAAAGGAAAGUCUCACCACCAAAAAAGAAGAGCUUUGGGAAAUGGUUGAAAUAUAAGCUUACUUACCUCAAACAGCUGAAUGACGUUGGGAUGUCUCACCAGCUUCAUUGUAGAAAUUUCGCGUUUGAUCUGUAAAGUUCGUCAAGAUGACCAGCAAUGAAAGCGAGCUCGACCAUUUCUGCUUUACCUGAUCGACCAUCUUGUGCUUCAAAAUCUUCUCCUUGUCCAAGAUCUUAAUCGCGACGCUCUCGUUCGUCUCCAAGUUCCUGGCGUACUUGACCUUGGCAAAAGUACCUUCUCCAAGUGUCCGUCCCAGCUCAUACUUCCCAACGCGAGUUCUCCGGUAGCUCAUUCCUUCCCCCUCUGGAUGGAAUUCCUAAUCCUCAAGAGCGACACAACGCAUUUGAUCCCAGUCACAGGCUCGAGGAGAUCGCCGAGGGAAACAAGAUCCAGGCCGGAAGAUCAAGCGUGCCGAGUGGAAAUGCAGCUGCGAACAAGCCAAGAGAAAGUGAUGGGUGGAUCCAUGCAAUGCGCGCGGGCUGGCGAGCGAGACAUUGAUUACCUGCCGUGCCCACCGAGAAACCCUAAGUCGCGAGUCGCAAGAAGCCGCGCACUGUUCCAUCGGCGAGGAAGAAGAGAAGGAGCCGCCUCGUUGGAACAGGGGGGCGGGCCGUACACGUCACGACGCGGCGGCGUACGGACGUGGUCCAGAAAGACAGGAACUAAUUAGGGCAACGGUGGCGCCACCAAAAGAGCAUUGGGGGCGUGGUUUUCGCUCGCCGCGAUUCGAGACAAUCUUUGGAUGUGCCACCAACCUUGUGUGCAUUAUACACAUAAAAAUCAUACAAUUGUUGUAAAUGUGGGUGCUGGUUUUCCAACAAAAGAUUUGAUAGAGAGCAUCGAAUCAUAUCGCACCGCCAAAACACUUUGUCCGUCCAUUGUCUCCUCUAGAGCGCUUAUUCGCGGGCUAGAGUCGUGGUAAAAACCGCGGUGAAAAAAACCGGGCGCGGUAAAACAGCGGCGACAAUUUGGUGGCGCCAACUUCCUAGAAAGCUUGCAAAUCCACCUAGGGCCUGUGGCGACGCCAAAUUUAAGAAAGAUUUACCAAAAUUACCACACCACCCGUGCGUUUUUCACCUUUGACCACGGACCAGGGCAUAUUCCCCGCCCGGGAAUCCUUGGCUUCGCUGGAGGGGAGAUCCGGAAUCGUUUAGUUUUCUUGUUUCGUGGGUGCCGGCUGGCGCAAACGGGAGGAGUGAGGAACACUUGACAAACACAAUGUCAAAUCCAGAUUGAAUACCAAUUUGGCGAAUAUCCCCCCAAUCUCCAUAUUUGUAAAGUAGAGAAGCGAGAGAUUUGUUUGGCGCCGGGAUCAUGAUCAUAUGCCAAGAUCUCUGCGCAAAUCUUUCCAACAGUGCCAAGGUCAUGCUCAUGCGCAACAAUUGGAGCGAGUCGAGAAGAGACACUCCGCAGCCGUGAUUUUUGUAUGGAUUCUUCGUGACGAAAGUGGGGUCAAAUGGGUUUUGUAUUGUUAUGCUUGGGCCACAUUGACCAGCUCUCUAAUUUCCGCCACGCACAACCAUAUCCCAAAUCUUUGAAAAAACAAAAGCGAAAAGGCAAAAUCUUUGCGCAACAAAAGGUGGCGGACCAAACUAGACAUCUAAAUUUUUCUAAGCUUCUCGUUUCCGAUCAUACAGCUUAGGUACCUGCCUAGUGUUUGAAGCCAGGCGAAAAUCAAUCAAUGUAACUCCCGGCUUUUCACUUUUGACCGCGCGGUAAGAAACCGUGUUUUUACCCAGUCGUGGUGGACGAGAUUCGCCAGGAUCUCGCCGGAGGUUGUUUGCCGGCGCCGGGACCUCAGCAAAUCCGCCAAAGAUUUUAUAGCGCCCAGCAAAUAAUUUAAAAACCAUGGAAAUUUCAGCGAAUCAUAUCUCCAUCCUGGGGGCUCGUCAAUCUGACAGAGCCAAACCGACGACCGACGGCUGCGGUCACGACACGUGUCAGAGGAGCGUUUACCGGACAGAAUACGUCAGUCUAAUCAGUCAGUGUGAUGGCUUUGCUUUGGCAUUCAUUCGUUUGUUUGUUCAUUCUUUCUUCUCUUUUCUCUCGCGUCGCAUCGACAGCUCCUCAUCUACGGCGUCAAGGAUUCCAUCGAUCGAUCGAUCCAUCCGCCAGGUCGUCAAUCGCGCGGCGCUCGCGGCAGUCGCGGCGCGGCUCGAUCGGCGGCACGGAAAGAGGUAUGUGGAUUUGGGCGAAAUCGCGGAGAUUUUCUGGCAUGGGAAGCGGCAGCAAGGGCGGGAUCGAAGCGGAAGAAGCUGCCUGUGAUGCGUGACGCAAUGCUCGCGCGGAGCAUUGGAGCUCUCCUCUCCAUCGCCGAUGAUGUCCUGUCGAGCCUGGUGGAUUAUCGGAGCAGCAAUCGUCUAGGAUUGGAAUUGGAGCAGGGAGGAGGAGGAGCGAUCCAUAAUCUGGCCAGGGCGGGUGUAAUGCAGGAGGGAUCGCCGAGUCCGGCCGUGGAGACAGGGAAGCUCUUCAAGGAGGUAUCCAGGGCAUUUAGCGGUAGCAACCAAAAGGAUGAAUUCCUGGUCGCGUCCACCACUAGCACGACGAGCAGCUCCUCGUCGCCUCAUGCAUUGCUCGCGUCCAGCGCGCAGCAGCUCAAGCACAGAUUCAAGACGUCACACAAGAGAUCUCGCCUCGAGGAGCUCCUCAUCGAGUCCACGCACUCGGAGAAAUUGGGAUCGUCUCACACGGCGCUCCCAGGGUCAGGGACAGGGACAGGGCUGGACAAGCUAGUCGUGACUUUGGCACUGCUUUUAUCCUCGGCCAUCUUGCUCGUGUGGUACUUGACGCCGGCCGCGGUACUGGUUUGGGCCGUCCCGGCAGCGAUGGUGUCACUGGCGAUUUGGACGAGAUUUGUUCGCUGCGAUCCGCCGAGUUCCAGGGAGAUUUGCGUGCAAGGGCAGUGUUCCGGGUGUAGAGUAGUGAGCCAGGACAAGCAAGAGGAGGAGGAGCAGCAGCUGGCCCAGCGAGCUCAUCGUGCCAAGCAACAAUUCAUGGCUUAUGUGUUCCAUAACAUAAGAGGUGAGUUCGUUGCUAGGCUAGAAGUUUCUUUUUCUUUCGCUCUUCCGUAUAGAUGGUGCGAGAACUAUUUCGUGAUUUUCUGACGUACCUUUGGCUUCUCCGUGCAGUCCCUUUCAAUGCGAUCGUCCUGGGAUUGGGUCACAUGCGUGCUUCAGCGUCCGGGGAUGACUCCAGUUCCGGGGAGCUAGACUUGGUGCAACUAAUGCUAGACUGCGCCGAGACAAUGACAAACGUGCUUGAUGAUGUUACUGAUAUGGGUAAGGUGUCCAUGUCUCGACUCGAGUCUCGACUUUUACUUAUGAUUGUUCUCGACAUAACUAACGAAUGAUCGGUCAUCCACAGGAAACUGGGAGGAGGGGCGCAUUGAGCUUCACCGAGAUGUGUUCGACUUACUGGCGGUGGUGAAGUUCCUGGCGUGGGGUUUGAAAGAUUUGCUCGAGCAGAAACAAAUAUCUCUCAACAUUGAUAUCGAUCCGGUCGCCAGCAAGAUUUUGAAGUCCCACAACAUUGUCGGUGACAAGCACCGGACUGUACAGACGCUAGGUAAUCAAACUCCUCCACGUCUGACUCUCACUCACGCUCUGCGCAAGCAGGCAAUUUUCUCAGUAAUGCCGUCAAGUUCACGCCUACCGGGGGAAAGCUCGACCUGGAGAUCAAGUGUCAAGAGCUCGACGGGGUCCCGGUCUCAAACUCCAAAGGCUUUGAGACCGACGAGUUAGAGCACAAGUCCCUGGAGCUCUUUAUUGCCGUCAAUGACUCUGGCGCAGGUAACGUUUCUUUCUUCGCGAUCGCGAUGCUUUGUUUUGUUCUGACUUGAAAGUCUGGUGCUCGGACAGGAAUUUCCUUAGAUGACCAAGACAGACUCUUCGAAGCGGACUCUUUCAUAUCGUCUCCUUGGGUCCAGAAAGCUGGUGUUUCCGGCCUGGGCUUAAGUGUUGCGAAACGCUUCAUCGAACAGAUUGGUGGUCAGAUCGGGGUACGCUCGCGGGACCAAGGAAGUACGUUCUUCUUCUCCGCUCCAUUUCUGCUGGUUCCGAUACAAAAGCGCACGAACUCGUCAGUCCCGGCCUCUGGGAUCUUCUAUAACAUGAGGUCUACAGACUCCGUAAGCAAAGAGAAGCGAAAGUUGGAACGCCUCAGUGACCUUGACGCCCAACUCAAGUGUUCGCCGGGUGCUGUGCUGCCACAAGACGCCUCUCCGUGCAGGAGAAAGGUGCUGCUAGUGGAAGACACGCGGAUAAACAGAGUAAGUCUCGUCUUUGGCUAUAUCGGUGCGCAUUUUACUUACCAUCAUCUUGGCUGUACGUACAGAUUAUCUUGCGGAAGGUUCUUCAGAACCUCAAUCUCCAAUGCGACGAGGCAGAGAACGGCCAGAUUGCUGUCGACCUGCACAGGCAGGGCAAGUCCUACGAUCUGGUGUUGAUGGACAAGGAAAUGCCUGUCAUGGACGGACACGAGGUAAGAGUUCUUAGAACUGAGUUUUCCUUUCUCUCCAAAGUAUGCUAACGUAAGUUCCUGGCAGGCAACUAGAGCUCUGAGGAUGAUGGGUGUGAAGACUCCAAUCGUGGCCUUAACUGGCAAUGCUUUGCAGUCGGACAAGGAGCUCUUUUUCGAAGCCGGGGUGAAUGAGUUUCAAACAAAGGUAUGGAAGGAAACGUAAAUGCUCGUGGACAGACAGGAGUGCUGAUGCUCUCGCUUUUGCCGUGGCAGCCUUUGUCUAGAGACAAACUUAUCCAGCUCCUGGCAAGAUACGGAGUUGAGAGCUCAUCGCCACCGGUGGCUUUGCAACUUUGUCGCGAGUAAGCUGCCCAGCGACGAGCGAUCAAGGAGCGACAACAUACAGAGUUUUCAAGGGAUUGUCUUUUUGGCGGGACAGGCAAGCCCGGUUGGGAAAUUUGUAUAGACUCACUCUAUUAUGUACAGCUUUUUAGUGGAGCAUAGGAAUCAAAGAGAGGGACGAGAGAAAAGAAAGAUAGAAAGAGAGAAGAAGAAAAAAACCAUGGAAGCUCCAUUCAGCUGAAACAAAUGGAAAGAAGGAACUUAGAAUUUUUCAGUGCGCUAUGUCUGGAAAGGAAGAUCUUGGAGCUGUUUCAAUACAUCCCGGCUCUGAGAUGGCGGUCAAGUCUCUCGGCAUUGAAAGUUCCCGGAAUCUCGUGAAAAUCAUCGUUGAAGAUUGAGUAGGCACUGCACGGCACGUAUCCUUGUGAUCUGGAAUGGAAUGGAAGAAGUCUUCGUACCUGAUGUCGCCCUCUUGCCGCUUUCCCAGAUUCCAAACGAUGAGACAAAAGAUCGUUGCGAUUAUCUGCGACAGUGGUGUUAGUAGUAAAGAACACACAAAACAGCACUGUUUCUUACGUAGAGAUGGCCCAAGUCCCACGAAAUGGCGUAGCCAGCGACGAUGAGCCAGAGCAGGACCAUCAUCCAUCUUCUGAAACCAAAAGAGAAGAUGAUCAUCAGCACGAAGUCUGCUCAGAGAAAAAAUCACACCAGUGUCCAUGCUCACGCUUGAUGUAUGAUAAAAAAGGACAAGCUACCUGGAAACUUGAGCUUGUGCUUCAAGAACUGUACGAGUCUUCUCUCGAGCGGGGAUGCGGUCGCGGGAAGCUUGAAUCUCUGGACACACACAAAACACACUUAAAACCAACAAGAAGAUUGCUCAAAGGAAAAAAAACAAGAAAAACUCUCGUACCAAGUCAUCAUCCUCGUCUUCGUUUUUGCUCUGCGAGUGCACCGAAGGCGCCUUGGGUGGAAGAAGCACCAGCAACGAGUCUAAAAGGAAGAAGAAGAAGAAAAAAACGAUGAAUUCCACUCAAGAAAGAAACAAGAGUUAAAAAAUGUCCAUAGUCUCACCUCCAGCUCGAAUGUCGACAGUGGAGUAAUCAUCAGCAGCACCGAGAGCCUUGCCUCUAAACACGAGCUUCAGUCGAUUCACUUGAGAAUCCUCCACUAGGCCAAGCUCCUGGCUCACCAAUCUCCGCAACACACCGAUCUAGUAGAAAUCCCGCUCAUCAAUCGGAUCGAUUGGAUCAAUCGAUCGGCCACUCACCUCGCAUAGCGGCUCCACCUGGAUCACCCGGCGCCGCCGCGCGAAUCCAGCGACCUUGAGCUCCAGCGGCACCAUCCCCGGCGAGAAACCCUAGAGGUAGCGCUUUCGAAAUUUCCCGUUUAACGGGGGGGCUUUGUUCUUGGCUCUAUUUCAUUGCUCCAGCCAAAAUGGGAAGAGCUACUGCGUGAGCGAUGAAGGAUUCCGCCAAAAGGUUUCUCCUCCUCCCUUUCUCCGGCCUCCUGCCAUCGUCAAUCUGCGUCCUCCUCGCCGCCGCGCUCGUCUUCUUGGCAGCUCUCACGAUCCCAAACCUGGGACUGGGAUUCUCACCGCCGCUGGAGCUCCUCCUCAUCCAUCCCUACGCGCCGAUCGCUCAAUCGCCUGGGAAUCUCUCCACCGCCGCGCCACCGAGCGAUCCAGGUAGCCGAUCGGUGCCAAAUCUUGCUCAAAAUAUUUCGGUGCCAGCUCGAGGAGGAGGAGGAAGAGGAGGAGGAGGAGGAGGAGGGGAUUCCAUCGAUCGCGAGGCGCGAGUGUGCGAUCUCUACACAGGCAAGUGGAUGCCGGAUCCGCGCGGUCCCCUGUACCGCAACGAUGCGUGCCCCAUUCUUUCGCAGGCACAGAACUGUCAAGGGAAUGGAAGGCCGGACAGAGAUUACGAGUCUUGGAGAUGGGUGCCCGAUGGCUGCGGCCUUGCGCGCUUCAACGCCACCGAGUUCUUGCGCAUCAUGCGAGGCAAGGUCCUGGGAUUCGUGGGCGAUUCCGUGGCCAGGAACCAGAUGGAAUCGCUCAUGUGUAUCCUAAUGCAGGUAAGAGGAUCGUUCUAGCUCUUCUUGCUUCUCGCUUUCCUGGAUUGAUCUAGCUAGUUCUCAUUUGCUUGCUCUCCUAGGUAGCCAGUCUCGAUCGCGAUCAAUGUAGGUACUCUUUUUCCUGAUCGGAGUAGUAGAUGCUAGAUGGUUUUUUUUCCUCUCUUUCUCUCGAUCGCGGACUAACUGUGAGCUUCGAUUACCACACCAGGUGGAGAACCCCGUGAACAAAGGCAAUAAGAGGAUGCAACGCUGGUUUUUCCGCUCGAGCAAGGUCACCAUCGUCCGGAUCUGGUCGUCAUGGCUGGUGAAAUCCACACCCGGCGACGCCUCGGUGAAGAGCGCAACGAGAAUUCACAUCGAUCAACCCGACGCCAACUUCAUGGACUUCCUUCCCAGCGUGGACGUGCUCGUCAUCUCGUCCGGCCACUGGUUCGUGAAGAAGUCGGCGUUCAUGCGGGGUGGCCAGGUGGUGGGAACUCAGGGGUGGCACAGGCCGAACGCGACCAUGACCACCAGCAAAGCCUUCGCAGCGUCCAUGACCACGGCCCUCACCGCCAUCGCCGCCAGCCGGAACUACAAGGGACUCACGGUUUUUCGGACGUUCUCGCCGGAUCACUACAUCGGGGGGUCGUGGAACACGGGAGGGUCGUGCACGGGGAUCACGAAGCCUCUCACGGACAACGAGGUGAAAAGGAUUGGCAGCAGCGUCUUCACGAGCGAGAUGAGGCGGAUCCAACUCGAGGCGUUCGCGGAGGCGAAGAGGAACGCGAGCGGAGGAGGAGCCAGGCUCGUGCUCAUGGACGUGACUCGGGUGUUUGAGUACCGGGCAGACGGGCACCCGGGAUCGUUUCGAAGCAAAGAUCCCAGCGGCAAGGUGGCGGCGCAGGACUGUCUCCACUGGUGCAUGCCUGGACCUGUCGAUACGUGGAACGAGUUUUUGCUCCACAUCAUCGUCACGCACAAGAUCAACACGGCGGCUUGAUCCAUCAUCCAUUCUUUCGGGAAGCUCUCCAAUCCAUCUGUAAGUUUUGAUUCUUUGCAAGGGAAAGAAAGUUGCUACGAGACGAUGCUGGCGAGCAUCAUGUAAGGUGCUGAAUUCCCCGGCUCUAGCUCCGAUGCGUUCUCGGCUGCUCGAGCUGCGAGCUCGGCCUCGCGGUGGAGCUUGCAAGCGCUGAGCAUCGUCUUCCACGAGACGGCCUCGGGAAGAAAAGGCAUGGUUUCUACGAGCUCCUGUGCGUCGUCAAGCCGGCCCGAUCGACCGAGAGCGUCCACCAUGCAUCGAUACUGCUCCCUCGUCGCCUCGAUUCCAUAGUCGCUCGCCAUGGACAGGAAGAAGCUCCGGCUCUCCUCCACCAUUCCCAAGUGGCUGCGCGCUGCCAGGACGAUCGUGGCUGCGACCUCGUCGAUCUCCCAGCCUUCGUGGCUCAUGAUCUGGAAGAAGCCCAUUGCCCUCUUCCUAUCGACGCUGUAGCCAGUGAGCAUUGCGUUCCAGGAGAUGGUGUCGCGAGCAGGCAUUGUGUCGAAGAUCCAACGCGCUUCGUCCAGAUGCCCCUUUUGGGCAUUCACUGCGAUCAUGGCGUUCCAGGCUAUAAGAUCUGUGGCUGGCAUUUUCUGGAAGAGAUCUCUAGCCUCGACAAGCUUCUCGUGGCGAGCGUAUCCAGUGACCAUGAUAUUCCAAGCUAGAAUGUCCCUGAACUCCAUCGAAUCGAAGAGUUUUCUGGAUUCUAGCAAAUGCCCUCUCUCGGCAUAUGCAGAGAUCAUCAAAGUCUGGAUCACAACGUCCAAAUGCUGCAUCGAAUCCAUAAUGUUUUGAGCCUCCUCGAGAAUCCCGUGCUGGACGUAGCAUUUGAUCAUCUCGGUUUGCGAGAGCAUGUCGUGCUCGUCGCGCUGGAUGGAAUCGAAGACCAGCUUUGCUUGCUGGAUCAUCCCGGCUUGCGAGUAGGCCGCGAUCAUCAGGGUCUUAGCAAUCACGUCCCUCUCGGGCAUCGCAUCAAACGCCUCCUUGGCGUCGGCGAGGCUGCCAUCGCGGACAAGGGCGUGGAAGAGGGCAUUCCACGUCACCGUGUGUCGCUGUGGCAUUUUUGCAAAGACAAGCCUGGCUGUGCCGAGGUGGCUCGCCGCGUCAGCUAGCGCUUGAAAGAGAGCCGUCCACGUCACUACGUUUCUCUCCGGCAUGGAGUCAAACUCCUGCUUGGCCUCGUCCAGGUGACCGUUGGCGGCCAGUCCCGACAUGAGGCUCGUCCAUGUCACUAUGCUUACGAGAGGCAUCUUGUGGAACGUGGCGCGGGCACCAGCCAGCUGUCCCUCUCGUGCGUAGCCAAAGAGUAUAAUAUUCCACGUCACUAAGCCACGUCCGCGUGGCAUCUCAUCGAACAAGCUUUUAGCACGAUCAAAAUGACCAGACUGGGCAUAUGCUGAGAUCAUAGUGUUCCAAGAACGCUCAUUGUAACAAUCUAGACUGUCAUACGAAUAAUUGCCAUAAGUUGUUAGGGCACUGGAGUUAGAGCUAGUGAUAUGAUCUGAUAUGGACCUUUGGCCUUUCUCAAGCAAAACGUUGAAGAGUUUUUCGGCUUCCUCAAGAUGCCCAGCUUGGGCAUUUGCUGAGAGAAAAGCGUUCCACACGACUGUGUCGUGUUGUGGCAUUCUAAAGAAUGUGGCAGUGGCGGAAACAAGGUCUCGGUUCUCUGAGAAUGACUGAAGCAAGAUGUUCCAGGAAUAAGAAUUGCGUUGCGGGGUGGACUCGAAAACUUGGAAUGCCUCCGCUGGGCGAUUGCAGCGUCCAUACAUGAGGACGAGGAGAUUGGCGAGGAAGGUGUUGGAGCUGUGGCGGCUGUGGAUGAUAGCGGCGUGGGCUUCUCUCCCGCGCAAGAGAUCCCGGGCAUCGAUGCAGCUCCUCACUGCCUGGGCGAGUCGAUCCUUCUCGCCCACCAUGGUGGAGAUUAAAAAAAACGAGCAGAGAAUAUGCGACGCAUCGCUCUGGGCCUAGGUUUUGGUUUUGAUGCGUGGCGGAGCUGGGAGGUGGAGCGUCUGGAAUGCAGGGCAUGCUGCGCCACGAUCUUCUCGCCGGCACUGAUGUCACAACAGCUGCUCCUGGCGAUUUCCUCCAUUUCAAGGCUCACGUCCCUCUGCGACAUAUCUGGGUACGCAAUCGAUCGAUCACUCCAUCCCUAUUCAUCCAUGAUUCUCGAUCGAAAUCUCCUCUCACAGGUGGGAAACAAGCACUGGCGGUACUACCAGUCGGGACCAAAGCUCUUGCCGCCUUUGGUGUGCCUGGGAGGGACUUCCUCCACUGCCGAGGUCUUCUACAAGAUUAUUCUCUCCCUCUCCGCCAAGGUAUUGCUCUUCCUUCGUUCUUCUUCCUUUUGUUCAUGCAUUUUGUUGUUUAGAGACGUUGUAAACGUAUUUUUCGAUUCUUCUUUCAGGGCUAUCACGUAAUUGCUGCUGAUGCUCCUCCCGUGUGGAGUCACCAGGAAUGGAUCGCUUCGUUCGAGAAGUUUUUGGAUCAAAUUGGUGCACACCAUGUAAGUAUGAUACAAGGUGUGCUUCCGGAAUUUUUCUAAUGUUUCUCUCUUUGGUUUUUGUUAAGGUUCACUUGUAUGGUACUUCUCUCGGUGGGUAUUUGUCGCAGCUAUUUGCUCAGCAGCGUCCGAGGAGAGUAAAAUCGCUACUUCUCUCAAAUACGUUCUUGGAAACACACACUUUUGCUUCAAAAACUUCUUGGAAACCAUUGUGAGUAAGAACUUUCUGCUGUUUUUGAUCAAAGACUUCGCUUCUUACAGGAUAAGUUGGACGCCCGAGUUCAUGCUAAAGCGAUACAUCCUCUCAGGAAUUCAUGAGGGGCCGCAAGAACCUCUCAUUGCCGAUUCAAUAGAUUUCGUGGUCUCCCAGGUAUGUGCCUCAUUUUGAGGAACUUCAUAUCCUACGUUUCGAUUCCCGACAGUUCGAGACCCUUUCCCGCGAAGAUCUCGCAUCACGCUUGACACUCAACACGUCUCCUGCUGCAGUAGGCCAGAUCACACUCCCGGACUCGUGCAUCACCAUCAUGGACGUAAGCAUUCCCGCCUUUCGAGACAUUUACUAAAGCUUAACUUACAGACGAAUGACUACUGUGCCAUCCCGCAGUCUCUCAAGGACCAAGUGGCUGCCAGAUAUCCCACCGCCCGAAGAGCCAUGCUAAAGUCCGGUGGAGAUUUCCCCUUCCUCUCUCGAGCAGCCGAAGUUUCACUUCACGUACAGGUAGCAGCGAUCUCGUCUUUUCCCCUGAUCCUCGUAACUUUGCCUCGCAGCUCCAUUUGAGGAGAGUGGGAGUGGAAGGCGUUCCCGACGCUCGUCCAAUCCCAUCCCCUGGGAGUGGUGGAAGCGGGGACUCCGCCGGCGACGAUCAAUACCAAGGCCGGAGCCCCGACGGAGACCGAAGCUCUGCCGCGAGAGACGAGCCAUCUUCGAGCAGUCCAGCAGCCACCGACCGGAGCUUCUCUCCAAACGCCACGGACUCGUUCAAGCGACUCGGUCUCGCAAAUCACCUCCAGGCCGACUUGCAAAUCUCUCACCUCUUUUCUUUGCUGUGUUUGUUAGCCGCUGUACAAGAAUUUUGGUUUUGUUCGCCAGUAGCUACUUGUCCGAGCUUGAAAGUUUGAUCGUUUUCUUUGUUCUUGUAAUUUACAACCACCUUUUUUUUCUACCAAUCACAAGUUGGUUUUAGUAACCCUACCACCUUUUUUUCAUGCGUACCUACCUUUAUCCUGCCACCUUUUUUUCAUGCGUACCUAUCUUUACCCUACCACCUUUUUGCCCAAGCCCUACCACCUUUUUACCACCUUUUUAUGACACGAAACGUGCCCUUUGUCGCAACGCUAUGACAUUGCACAUGUUAAAGAGCGUGGAAAGUUUCAAUACUCAAUCAAAUCCGUGUUGUGCACUACUUGCAAAAUUCUUUCCUCAUCGUCAAGUGACGUUACAAUGGAAAAUCGUUGUUAAAAAAGAAUACUCGCGUGUCGGGUUAGCGGCCAAGACUUGGAAGAAUAGGAGGGAACGCGACGAUUUCCCGUCAACACCAAACCGUUGGAAUUGCUGGUGGCGGUGUUCUUGAGCUAGAUCUCUGCUGUUCUUCCACCAGAUUCAAGGCCUGGAGCAGCUUGGGCCAGCUCUCGCUCACGCCCCCGCGAACAUCAAAAUUGACCAGCUUCCCCUGCUUGCGGUAGAAAUCCUCCACUGGUUUGCUCUCCUCGUCGUAAACCUGGAGCCUCUUCUGGAUGCUCUGCUCGGAAUCGUCCUUCCUCGUCACCAUCUUGUCCAGGCACUGGAUCGGCGGAGGAAUCGCUGGCAUCCUCAGAUCGCCCACUGAAACAUCGGCCAUGCUGAACACUCGCCCACACUCUCCACACACCCUCCGGCCCAGGCACUUCUGGAUCAACACCUCGCGCUCCUGGGCGAAGUUCACAGCUACGUGAACGUCCGCUAUCUUGUCUAGCACGAUCGCCUGGUUCACCGUCCUGGGGAAUCCGUCCAGGAUGAAUCCCUUGUCGCCCCUGGCAGCCCCCGCCUGGAGCCGCGAGUGGAGCAAUUCGAACACCUCCUCGUCGCCCAGGAGCUUCCCCUUGCUCACAACCUCGGCGAUGCGCCGGGACAUGGAGCUCACCUUCUUCAUCUCCUCGCGGAUCAAAUCGCCAGUGGAGAUGUGAGGAACGUCGAGCAGCGCCGCGAGCUUGAUCCCAAACGUCCCCUUGCCGGCUCCCGGCCUCCCCAGCAACACCAAAUUGAGCUCUCGCUGCUUCCGCGGCUCCUCCUCCAUCGCCUUGCAAAUCUCCGGCAUCAAACCUUGGUGGUGAUCCUCCUGCGAGAUCGGUGGCAGUGGAAGCGGAUCCACGAUCGUCUUCUUCUUCUGGCAGUGGCCCAUCCCGGACAACCUGUUAGCUAUCCCAGAGAUCUGGGGCAUUGCUCGUCUCCCUGCUAGCGCCAUUGUGUCUCUUCCUUUUCCGAUUAGGCCACAAGAAAGCCCUCUCUCUCAUAUACACGGAAAAAGGGCAGUAAAGGAAUAUCCCGCGUGGCUUGACCGGUCAACAGUCGGCGGGGGGUCAACCAUCAUUCGCGGUCAAAAGCGCGCGCGUGGAAGAGAAACGUGGAAAGUGCUUUUACCACUAGAAGUUACCAGUGACGUCGUAGUCUCACCCACGCCACGGCACCGACCACCGCGCCGCCCAGAUGGCCUACGUGGCUUAUGGUGGAUGCCACCUGGCAAGCAGACAAACAAGCAAGCCAUUAGAGAACGCUUCCCAAAACUUUGGAAGAAACCACGCAAGAGAACUUACAUCGGAAACUCCCCACAAAUCCUUGAGGAUCAUGUAAGCUCCCUGUGGAGUGAGCGAUCGCGUCAAAUUCUCACAGCAUUGGAAUGGGAAAAACAAAAACUUAGGAAAGAUCGAUCGCUUACAAACAGGGCAGCUGGGACUGGGAAGAGGAAAUCGACCAAGAUGACGCGCGUUGGAUUGAGCAUGAUGUUGAGGACCACCAGCGCGUUGAUGGCUCCACUGGCGCCCUGUGGAAAAAACGUGUCGCGCAUCAAACAGCACGCGAGAGAUAGAGGAAGAUCACGCUUUUCUCUCGACUCACCAGCGCUGGUGGGACAAAUCGGGCCACAAAGGUGCUGUGACGAAGCCCCUGGGAAAACCAAAAAAUGUGAAUGACGAUACGAGGAUCCAGAAGAAGAAUCGCUGCGCUUUUAUCGAACCUUGAGCCAGGGAUAGAUGUAAUAGCUAUAAGCCAAGUGUCCGAAGGAGCUAACGAGGCCACCCGCAAAGUAGAUCAUGUAGAGCCUUUUGCUGCCGAAUCUAUAAGCGAUCUGCGAAGCGGAGUGAGCACGCGAGAGAGAGCGAAGAUCCGGAUCGAAAGAGAACAGGAGAGAUCACAAGACCUCGGUGCCAAAAAAGUAUAGGCCGAGUAAGUUGGAUGCCAAGUGCCAGAACUCGUUGUGGCUGAAGAAGUUUGUGACGAGAGUGUGGAGUCGGCCACUCAACACGUUGUGCAUGGAGAUCUGAGUGUCACAAUUGUCACGAGAGAAUUUCUAGCAAAAGAAAAAGAGAGAAAGAAACCGACCGUGAAAUGCUCGGUCAUGAAAACCGGGUCGAAAACCUUCCACAGGAAGAACACCGAAACGUUGGCACCGAUCAAAGUCCACAAAGCAACAUCGGGUCGAGCGUAUCCUCCACCCCUGAUAGAGUUCCAAGAAAAAUAAACAUCACCCUCGAAGAAGAUCAUAGAAGAUCAUAGCAUAGGAAAAAAACGAUCUUUGUUACCCUGGCAAGCGGCCGAGGCUGGAGUAUCUCCAGCGCUGCGAGAAGCGAUUCACAAGCCGGUUCCAUUCUCGCACGGCGGGCUGCAACUCGGCUGGGAUCUUGAGCUUGCUUCCCUGGAAACUUGUCCGAAACUGGCUGCUGCUCGUCCGCGUCGCGUGAAUCCAGCAAGUGAGAGGCCGCCAUUCGGUGCUCGUGGCGAUCUUUGAUGUGCCCAAGAAACCACUCACGCUCGUCUUACCAGCGGUCGCACAGAUUCUGCGCACUGCCGCCAUUUCCACCCUAAACGAAGACCAAGCUUUUGGAAUUCCAGGAAACCUUUGUAUUGUUUUGCAGUCUCGAGAGAACGAGAGUUCGCUCCAAAUUCCACCAUUUCGUUUCCUCUCCCGCGGAAUUGGAGAGCGAAAAGAAUCUGAAAGGUUGGCACCGAUUAGAAAAACUGGCUUUUUGGUUCGAGGAAGCCUCACACGCUAUGAGAUAGAUCGAGAGAUGUCCGCUGUUCCUUCCAGAAACUUAGAUUUUGGAGAGAAGAACAAUGCAAGUGGAGAACUUCUUGUGCUGGAUCAUUGCUUUCGAAUUCGCGCUUUUUAUUUACAUCGAUUUGGCGAAGAACAUCAUGGGAGGAUUGGAUUCGUGUUGUUGGUGGAGUGGCAUUGGAUUUGGAGUGACGAGACGAGGAGCUUGUGUGUUUUCCUAGCCCUGAUCGCUUCGCGUCCCAGUGUUCGUGGAGGCCGAUCUUCUCCUGUGCCUUCCGCGUCUACGCCUCUGCGAAAAAAGAGAUUUUUGAGUCAAGUUCCACUGGACGAUUGGGUGAUCUUACUCCUCGCCCUCGGCGCCGCCUCCGCCGGCGCAUCAAAGAGGGGCUUGUCGACGCUGUUCUUGCGGGUCGCACCAUUUCUCCUGUCCUCCCAAACUCUAGCAAUGCUUCGCCAUAGUUUUCUCCAGCAAUGUAUAUCCCCGGAACAGCCGCGACCCUUGGAUCUGCCACGUCACUGAUUAGAUCAGCCACGUCAGCGAUCCCCGGAACAAAACCCUAGGCUCGUACGGAGCUUAUUAACUGGAGUUUUAAACUCUUUUGGGCGAGGGAGGAGCGAGGAAUAGAUUCGGCAUGGGGAGCGCGCGGCGGCCCAAGAAUCCCAUCCAGGCGCUCGUCUGGAGGAUCCAGCGCCAGAAUCCCCGCGUCAAGGCCGCGCUCCUGGCGCUGGCGGCAGUGAUUGGGAUCGUCUUCCUCAGGUAUGUCGUCAAGGAUCACGACACCCUCUUCGUCGCCUCCGAGUGCGUCCACGCCCUGGGGAUCGUCAUUCUCAUCUACAAGCUCCAGAAGGAGAAGAAUUGCGCCGGUAAGGAUCCAUGGAGCGAUCGAUCGAUUCGAUCGCUCAUUAGCUACAGCUAGGGCCGCGUCAAAUCACUUAAAUAACUUUCUUACAAGUGUGUGUUUCUCGUGUUUCUUAGGUGUGUCUUUGCGAUCGCAGGAGCUUACAGCGAUUUUUCUUCUCGUCCGGCUCUACUGCUCCACUUUCAUGGAGCAAAACAUCCACACUUUCCUCGACACGGCCACGCUCCUCGUCACGGCCUGGGUGAUUUAUAUGAUCCGGACCAAUCUCAAGGCAACUUAUGUCCAGGAACUCGAUAACAUGCCACUCUACUAUGUGGUAAGCUUUGUUUUUCUCGUCCGGGACUUGAGUUCUAUCACUCCUUUUUGGUUUUCCUUUCAGCUGGCUCCAUGCGCAGUGCUCGCUAUCCUGGUUCAUCCUCUCAUCCGGUACCACCUUAUCAACAGAGUUUUGUGGGCGUUUUGUGUGUAUUUGGAGGCCGUCUCCGUGCUGCCUCAGCUUCGGGUGAUGCAAAAGGCUAAGGUAGGCCAAUUCUCUAUGUUUCUUCGCUCACUUAUCUUGGAUUUGAUCCACAGCUUAUAGAACCCUUUACUGCGCUCUACGUUUUCGCCCUUGGGGUUGCAAGAUUUAUCAACUGUGCGCAUUGGCUGCUCCAGGUAUGAAUCUCAUUGCAAGACAAGAGGAAGGUCAUGUAAAAAAACGCAUUUUUCUUCUCCUUUUGCAGCUGAUAGAUGGACGUGGCUACCUCUUCUACACGCUGGGAACGCAGCUCAAACACCGGAGCUUGAUUCCUUAUGGCUUGUGGCCUGCCAUGGUUGUGGUCGCCGAGAUUGUCCAGACAUUCAUCCUUGCCGAUUUCUGCUACUACUACGUAAAGAGGUAUGGAUCAAAAGAAGAAAAAAGCCAUUUUUUCCAUGAAAUUUACGAUUUCUUUGUUUGUGACAGUGUGGCGGAGGGCCAGAUGAUGAUCCGGUUGCCUUCAAGUGUCUAGAAUUUCAUUUGGUUGUACAAGUCUUUUCUCCUCCUUUAAACUUUCUUAAGUUAACUUAAAAUGGCCGAUUAAAAGAGUACCUUUAGGGCUAGCUAGCUAGGGCAAUUUGGAUUGAGCGCCAUGGAAGACAAGCAGCUGUUGCUGGCGCAGUUCAUGGAGGUGGUAGGCGAGCCUGCCGAUCGCUGCCACCAGUUCCUCGAGGUUUGAUCCCUCCCUGAUCGCUCUUCUUGAAGGAAAUGCCGAGUGAUUUUGUGUAGGCGACGAACUGGCAGCUCGAGGAAGCGAUUCAGCUCUUUUUCGCUGGCGGAGGUGUCGAGAUUGGAGCUCCGCCUUUAGCAGCGGAGCCCCCGCCAAUGAGCAAGCCUGUCCAUGCGGAGCCACCUCCAGUAGUGCUCCCUUCUCCAAGGUGAGAGUUUUCCUUCGUUCUUUCUCGUUCCUGGAUGAAAAGAAAGGAUUUUUUUCCUCUCAGUGGGGGAGAUGACUACGUUCGUCCACCACUGCCUGUGAAACGCGAGGCCUUGUACGAGGAUAUCUUCCAAUACAGGUAAGAAAACGAAGAUCACCAUCUCCUUUUCUCAUUCUCUUUGGAUGGUUUUCCAGAGCACAAAGAAGGGCGCAAGCAGGUCCCGUCCAGCCGACUCCUGUGGAUGCUUUCCGGAACUUCGAGGACGAGUUUAACUCCAGAAUCGCCAAGCCCUCCCCUGGGAGCUCUCCCGUGGGUGCCAAAGCUCCAACGCUUGCGUCCCUGUACCGUCCGCCACUGGAGCUCAACUUCGAGGGAAGCUUCGAACAGGUACGAAGGACGCCACUUUUCCCAGACGAGACCAUCUUUCUCCGCAUGUUUAGGCGAAAGCAGAAGCAGCCAAGCAAGGAAAAUGGUUGCUCAUCAACUUGCAAUCCCAUACAGAGUUUGCGAGUCAUAUGGUAUGAUUAUAGCUCCACAAGUAAGCUUGCAAACUGUGUUUUCUCAUCUACGAGCUGAUGCUUUCUGUGUAGCUGAACAGAGACACCUGGGCACACGAGGCCGUCAAGGACACGGUGAGGAUAACCUUCGUCUUCUGGCAGGUAUUUGUGAUGUUUGAUAGCAUUCGUGGCCUCACUUCUUCUUUGCUGGUUUUAGAUCUACGAUGACACCGAGGAAGGAAAGAAGGUGUGCACGUACUACCGCUUGAAUACCAUGCCUACCAUUCUGGUGCUGGAUCCUUUAACUGGCCAGAAGAUGAGAUCCUGGGAGGGUAUGGUAGGCGCGGAGAGACUGCUCGAGGUAUAUGUUUUAUUCACCACUUUCUAUAGAGAGUUUUCUAUAGAGACUUACAACACUUUCAGGAUCUUGUCCAAUUCAUGGAUAGAGGUCCCAUGGAGAACCACACUCAAAAGCGACCACGAGAUGUGGAACAACAGCAACAGCAACAGCAACAGCAGCAGCAGCAGCAGCAACCACAACAGCAGCUGGAUCAAGGUAGAGCUCGACGCUGAGUUGCCAGCAAUCUUUUCACUUUGUUCUUGGCAGGCCCGGCUGAUACCGACGAAGACAAGGAACUCCAGCGGGCCUUGGCAGCUUCGUUGGAGAGCCAAACCGAGCCUUCUUCGGCGGCGGAGCAUGUCAAGGCCCGCGGCAGCAAGCAUCCAGCGCUGCCGGACGAGCCCAAGCCCGAAGAGCCAGAAACUUGCCGCGUUGGAGUGCGUUUUCCCGAUGGCAAGAGGGGCCAGCGGAGGUACUUUCGAUCCGAUCCACUAACUGUAAGUGGAAAACCAGCGAUGUUCUUCCUUUCUCGCUUCUCAUGUUGGUCGUAUCGUGUAUGAGCAGUACCUCUGGUCGUAUUGCUGCUUGAACGUGGAGGAGGCCGCCAGCGGCAGAAAGUUUCGCCUCACGCUCACCAUUCCUGGUGGGAGGUCUCUCGAGUACGAUCCCAGCAUCACCAUCGAUGAAGCAGGUGUUGCCAACGCCAUACUGAACAUGGCAUGGGAUUGAUCGCUAGUUUUCUUUUCUCCUUCGCCUGUAUCUGGCAAUCAUCUCAACGCGUAGUCAGUCGUAAGAACUCUUUCAAUCAAAACAUGAUUUUUAAGGCUUUUGUUUUGCAAACCUGGUAAUCAUUCUGUCCGAGGACGAGCGCCCCGUGAGUCGGCAGUCAUGAGUCGACAGUCAGACACAGAUAGCUCCAAAAGAUACCUGAAACUCCAGACACGAUAAAUUCCUCUGCAAAGCUGCUACCAACGCGCUCUGGUUCUUCUGUAUAUUUCAAUGUAGCCAGCAAAGAACUUCCAGGUUUGGCGAUGGAGAAGGUCCCGCUGCUGCUGCUUGUAGCGAUGGUGGUGCUAGCAGCAGCAGCACUUCCGGUUCUGGGACAAGAAGUAGAAGCUGAAAACGAGGCGUUCGAUCCAAACGACGACUUCGAGUUCCAGAUGAAGAAGCCGAAAAUUCUCGUCAAAGGCCAUGUUGUCUGUGAUCGAUGCUGGCACGGACGUGUUGGCAACAUGAGCCUCCCUCUCCAUGGUACGCAAGAAAACCAUCUUUGGUAGAAGUUUGAGAGAAGUUCUUCGUUCUUGUGUCGAGCAGACGCCGAGGUAGGCAUCAAAUGCGUGGACCUGUAUGGAUUCGUGACCUUCUCCGGCGUUGGAUACACCAACACUCACGGCGUCUUCACCAUUCCCAUGGACGAGAUUCCAGCCAUCUUCGGCGUUAAGGGAUGCAAAGCCAAGCUUCUGCGAGGCCCAAGCACCGGCGACUGCGAUGAGGUGAGCUCCAUGGGAGAUGGUCACACGGGAGCUCCGCUUCUACUCGUCCACAAAUCCCUGCGAGAGGUCGUGUUUACUUCCGGUCCCUUCGCGUGCCGGCCUCUCAAACGUCCGGGAGCUUGCAAAACCGCCGCUGCUCCUCCUCUUCCUCCUCCGCCAGUUUACAAGUACUCGUCACCACCGCCACCGUUCAAGCACGUCCCAAACCAUCAUCCACCCCCGCCAAGCGUUCCCAGCUACCAUUCUCACACUCCUCCGCCUGUUUCUCACCAUCCGCCACCACCAUCUCCACGACCAGUUGCUCCUCCAGUUUCUAAGUCGCCGUUCAAUCCAUACAUUUACAAGUCCCCACCCCCACCACCUCCAGCUCCUGUGAAAUACCAUCAUCCACCUCCGGCUCCAAUCUACUUCCGCAAAACUCCACCUCCGCAGAUCCAUCCUUCACCACCUCCUGUAACUUCUCACAAGUAUCCGCCUCCAAUGGCACCUCAGAAGCCAUUACCACCACCUCCUGUAACUUCUCACAAGUAUCCGCCUCCAAUGGCACCUAAGAAGCCAUCGCCACCACCAAGUAGCAAGCCGCCACCUCCAAAAUCAUCACCUGGGCCUGUUACAAAGCUUCCAC